AUACUUACCUGGCAGGGGAGAUACCAUGAUCACGAAGGUGGUUUUCCCAGGGCGAGGCUUAUCCAUUGCACUCCGGAUGUGCCUGACCCCUGCGAUUUCCCCAAAUGUGGGAAACUCGACUGCAUAAUUUGUGGUAGUGGGGGACUGCGUUCGCGCUCUCACCUA
rnacentral:snRNA from 1 species